CGAAUAUCUGCGACGGUUUGGGAGAUUAAUUAUGUUAGGAACAGAACACACGGCUCUUGUUUCAUGAUGAUAAUGAGCAGGUUCUCUCAUGAGAAAGAUUAGAUUACGGUGUCGAAGACAAGGAGGAGGAGCCUUGGACCGAUGGCCUGGGGCCGGACUAUGCACACGAUCGAGAAGGGCAAGGAGAGGACGAGGUAUGCGCUCGCGCCUGCAUUCGCGAUCACGAAAAAUCUGCAUUUCAUGUCGGACAAAUUAAAUUUGACAACA